CUAGUGGGUUUGAAGGUCUUUAAAAGAUGAAUAGCACGACAAGUACUUUAGACGCCACUUAGACAAAACAGCAUAACUUGGAGCGAGAGACAUAUCUGAAUAGAGAGAAAAUGGGAAAGACAACAAAGUCAGUGUUCAUCAUCGCUGUCCUCUUCUUCGUUAUCUCCAAAGCGGCGGCAGAGAUAGAAGUGGGGGAGCCUGGGUGUGCAAUAGACUCCCGCGGUGACGUCGAUAGACUAUGUGUUAAACAACCACCAUUAUGUGAUUGUUAUUGUCGUUUGAUCAAGCGUGCCGUUGGCGGAGGACGCUGUGUUGGACAUAUCACCGAGAAUCUUGGAUGCGUAUGUUACAUGUGCAACACGACGAACGCAAGCGAUAGCUACAAGCUCUAGCUGCAGUUCUAAGCUUCAGUUGUCUGUUAUAAUGGAAUCUGUUUGGGUUGUGUGAGUGUGUCUGUCGUCGUCGACAUGUUCAUGUGCGAUAUUAACAUGAGCAACAGAAUAUCUACUAGUGUAUAUUCUAAUACAGUACAUUAAAAAAAAACAUGAGUUCACUUCAGUUUGCGACUCAUUAUAUAAAAUAAAGGUUAUGCAUUUACAUAAGCAUAAUCUCAUUCUGGUAUAAUUGAAAAUGUUUCGGUGUGUGUGUGUUUGUAUGUAGUCGACAUGUUCAUGUGUGAUAUUAACAUGAGUUCGCUUCAUUUUGCGACUCAUUACAUGAAAUAAAGCUUAAAUAUUUACGUA